rnacentral:misc_RNA from 1 species
GAUGAAGAACGCAGCGAAAUGCGAUACGUAAUGUGAAUUGCAAAUUCAGUGAAUCAUCGAGUCUUUGAACGCACAUUGCGCCCCCUGGUAUUCCGGGGGGCAUGCCUGUCCGAGCGUCAUUGCUGCCCUCAAGCACGGCUUGUGUGUUGGGCCCCGUCCUCCGAUCCCGGGGGACGGGCCCGAAAGGCAGCGGCGGCACCGCGUCCGGUCCUCGAGCGUAUGGGGCUUUGUCACCCGCUCUGUAGGCCCGGCCGGCGCUUGCCGAUCAAUCCAAAUUUUUUAUCCAGGUUGACCUCGGAUCAGGUAGGGAUACCCGCUGAACUUAAGCAUAUCAAUAAGCGGAGGA